rnacentral:lncRNA from 1 species
CUUAAGUACAUGGUCAAUGCGGACUCAUCGUCUGCGACCAACUAAUUUUGUUUUAGCGAUUAAAUAAAAAAAAAUACAUAUGUAGAUCUGUUUCAUAUUCCGAGAGGGUACCUAGCAAACAGAGAGUAAAGUCUCAAUAAAAUGAUGGCAACAAUGCCGCUGAAGUUGAAAGAUAAAUGACCACCGUGCUUCUCAAGCAGCUUGAGGCCAUCAAACGGC